rnacentral:rRNA from 1 species
GCUUGCUUUCUUUGCUGGCGACCGGCGCACGGGUGAGUAACACGUAUCCAACCUACCCUUUACUCGGGGAUAGCCUUUCGAAAGAAAGAUUAAUACCCGAUGGCAUAAUGAUUCCGCAUGGUUUCAUUAUUAAAGGAUUCCGGUAAAGGAUGGGGAUGCGUUCCAUUAGGUUGUUGGCGGGGUAACGGCCCACCAAGCCUUCGAUGGAUAGGGGUUCUGAGAGGAAGGUCCCCCACAUUGGAACUGAGACACGGUCCAAACUCCUACGGGAGGCAGCAUG